GCAGGCGUGGCGAAAUGGUAUACGCGACGGACUUAAAAUCCGUUGUCCGAGUGGCAUGCGGGUUCGAGUCCCGCCGCCUGCACCC
rnacentral:tRNA from 1 species